rnacentral:lncRNA from 1 species
AGCUGACGUUUUGUUCCAGCUGCUCUUUCAGGGCAGGGAGCCAACACCUUGAUGAGAGGCAGGGCACACGUGUCUUGAUGCUGUUCUGCGACUGCCUGAUGGCUAUUUCUCAGUGCUGUUGUACACCUGGGAUCGGUGGCAGGCCCAGACACCCUUGCCAUCUAUAGCUCCGAAAAGCCUCAGCGCAGGAAGUCCCCUCCAAAACCAUUAUACCAAUGCGAUCUCAACACUAGAUUUUGUAAGAAGCUCAUCUGCAGUUAAAGUACUAACAUAAGCAGCAGGCAUAUGACCGAUGGUUUGACUAAUGUCAAGCCAGAAGUGGUUUUGGAGCAGGGUUUCAAACUACACCAUGGGAGAAAACUGUAUCCAGUGCUUGUCUUUAAACGGAAAGCAACGACAGGAAGAAGAAGAUAGCCUCAGCUCCCCAGAGAUCACCUGUGAUACAAAAGAUGAUCUACAAAAGCUGGAGGCUUGGAUUCAGGAGAGGAAGCAACUCCGGUCUCAGCUGAAAAGCUUUGGAGAUGUUGAAAAAUGGCUGAGUCAUAAACCUACCUUUACCAAACUGGAAGAAAGAGUCAGGAAACGAAUAACGGCAGCUAGAGUAGACCAGAGGGCUAGAAGCAAGUCAGUCGAGACCGACAGGCCAGACUGUUCACCACCACCAAGGAGCCAGACCCGGAAGAAGGGUAGCCUUCCCCUUAUUUGUGCACCAUACCCUCAAGCUCUUAUCGCACUGCAUAACCUCCUACACCAACAGAAGUUGACAAUGGUAGACAUCUUCAGAAAGGCUGGAAUGGAACAGAGAAAGAUCAUGAGAGCAGACUUCAUUAAAGUCAUCAAGGAGGUAUGUAGGGAAGAGAAAAGUAAGGAACUGCUGCAACUUUGCCUUGUUUUGCUGCAUGCCAACCCGGAGAAGUGGAAAAGCUCCAACUUCUCUUGUGUUACUCUCAGAGGAUGGCUCCCACAGCCUGUGAAAUGUUGAAGGGAAGAGGGAAGGGAAGGCUGCAGAGAUGCGAGCUGCCACCCAGACUGAGUCCCAGGAGGGAGUGAAACUCAUUGCCUCAUAGUCUCUAAAGACAGUCAGCGCUCAGUAACGUGGCCUGAACUGGCAUCAAGUUUCCUCGUGUUGAUACUUGGUCUUUCCUUGGCCAGUUUCAUGUGUCUGCCCGCUGCACUGCCUUUUAGUACCUGUUGGCACAGCAGAGCUCGUGCUGAGCCUCACUUUCCACAGGCUGCAACGGUACAGAACUGUCAAGAGCAUGUCCAGAUCUGUUAGGGUUUAGCAGUUCAGGUGUUUUCUGAUGUUCUGUUCCAAGCCAAAUUAGCUUCUUGACGCCCAGAUGGCUGAGAAGUUUGGCACAUUGAAAGCUGAGAGCUCAGCAGAGGACAGCAAAAGACCAGUAAAUUUUUCAGUGCUUGGUAAACUCAUGUAAAGCUUAAAGCUCAACAGGUUGCCUCUGUGCCUUUUCUGAAAAAGCAUUUAAAACAACAGCAAAGCUCAUCCCCCCCCUACUCCGGGCCAAGCCUUGUUUUUUUAUUGAUCACACUGUCGCUUCCUGUUUUGGCUGCCAGACAAAAGUUCCCAUCAGUGACAAGGAGCUGGAGGAUGUGGUCAUCUUCUUGACUUCUUCAAAGCGGAGGAAUUAUAUAAGCAGUGAAGAUCUGAUUGAAUGUCAAAAGCAGUGGCAGGAAAUGAGGAAAGGACAGCCCAAAGAGACCGGCGAAGGUGAGAGGAGAACCCUGGGCUGGGAAUCUCUAUCCUUGCAGAUGCCCUAAAAGUACACAGGUGGCAUUAGGGAAUGCCAAAGUAGAUCCAGAAUAUAGCUCCUUGCGACUAUUGUCCUGCAACGCGGUUGCUGA